CCUACGGGAGGCAGCAGUGGGGGAUAUUGCACAAUGGGGGGAACCCUGAUGCAGCGACGCCGCGUGGGUGAAGGAGUGCUUCGGCAUGUAAAGCUCUAUUGGCAGGGAAGAAGCAAGACGGUACCUGACUAAGAAGCCCCGGCUAACUAAGUGCCAGCAGCCGCGGGAAUAUGGAGGGGGCGAGCGUUAUCCGGAUUCACUGGGGGUAAAGGGAGCGUAGACGGGCAUGGAAGCAAGGGGUGAAAGCCCGGGGCCCAACCGCGGGGCUGCACUUGAAACUGCAUGGCUGGAGUGCGGGAGGGGAAGGCGGAAUUCCUGGUGUAGCGGUGAAAUGCGUAGAGAUAAGGAGGAACACCAGUGGCGAAGGCGGCGUGCUGGACGGCAACUGACGUUGAGGGGCGAAAGCGUGGGGAGCAAACAGGAUUAGAUACCCGUGUAGUC
rnacentral:rRNA from 1 species